GGUUACGGACUGAUCUGGUGUGAUCAAGACCUUAUAGUGUUGGUUAGAAGUUUCUACCAACUGCAUACUAUAGUGGAUAAUCUCACACGAAGUGUGGGGACUGGAAGUAGCCGGGUUUGGUGAACCAGGAUAACUCUCCUGUGUUAUUCUCUCUCUCUCUCUCUCUCUCUUACUUGUACACACUAAACACACACAUUAUCACAAAGCUUUAAUAUUCACCUCCAGAACAUUCUGGUCCUAAUUAAUCUCAACCAUAUUAAUCCAGAGUUCUCUGGUCCUAACUUAACUUAUAUUAUUUUGAUAAAUUAAACUGCCUCCAGAACAUUCUGGUCCAAGAUAAAACAAUUGCUUAAUACUUAACUAAAAGUUUAAAAU
rnacentral:lncRNA from 1 species